rnacentral:rRNA from 1 species
AUUGAACGCUGGCGGCAUGCUUUACACAUGCAAGUCGAACGGUAACAGGUUAAGCUGACGAGUGGCGAACGGGUGAGUAACGCAUCGGAACGUGCCCGAUCGUGGGGGAUAACGCAGCGAAAGCUGCGCUAAUACCGCAUAAGAUCCGAGGAUGAAAGCGGGGGACUUUAUAGCAAUAUGAGGCCUCGCGCGAUCGGAGCGGCCGAUGUCAGAUUAGGUAGUUGGCGGGGUAAAGGCCCACCAAGCCGACGAUCUGUAGCUGGUCUGAGAGGACGACCAGCCACACUGGGACUGAGACACGGCCCAGACUCCUACGGGAGGCAGCAGUGGGGAAUUUUGGACAAUGGGCGCAAGCCUGAUCCAGCAAUGCCGCAUGCAGGAAGAAGGCCUUCGGGUUGUAAACUGCUUUUGUACGGAGCGAAAAGGUCUUCUCUAAUAAAGAAGGCUGAUGACGGUACCGUAAGAAUAAGCACCGGCUAACUACGUGCCAGCAGCCGCGGUAACAC